rnacentral:tRNA from 1 species
GCCUGGUUGGUUCAGCAGGUAGAGCAUGCAACUCUCAAUCUCAAGGUCAUGAGUUCAAGCCCCAUAUUGGACA